rnacentral:rRNA from 1 species
AAGCCAUGCAUGUCUCAGUACAAGCCGAAUUAAGGUGAAACCGCGAAAGGCUCAUUAAAUCAGUUAUGGUUCCUUAGAUCGUACCCACAUUUACUUGGAUAACUGUGGUAAUUCUAGAGCUAAUACAUGCAAACAGAGCUCCGACCGGAGACGGAAGGAGCGCUUUUAUUAGAUCAAAACCAAUCGGCGGCGGGCUCGCUCGUCGUCGUACACCUUGGUGAAUCUGAAUAACUUUCUGCUGAUCGCAUGGUCUCGCACCGGCGACGCAUCUUUCAAAUGUCUGCCUUAUCAACUGUCGAUGGUAGGUUCUGCGCCUACCAUGGUUGUAACGGGUAACGGGGAAUCAGGGUUCGAUUCCGGAGAGGGAGCCUGAGAAACGGCUACCACAUCCAAGGAAGGCAGCAGGCGCGCAAAUUACCCACUCCCGGCACGGGGAGGUAGUGACGAAAAAUAACGAUACGGGACUCAUCCGAGGCCCCGUAAUCGGAAUGAGUACACUCUAAACCCUUUAACGAGGAUCAAUUGGAGGGCAAGUCUGGUGCCAGCAGCCGCGGUAAUUCCAGCUCCAAUAGCGUAUAUUAAAGUUGUUGCGGUUAAAAAGCUCGUAGUCGAAUCUGUGUCCCGCGCCGCCGGUUCAUCGCUCGCGGUGUCUAACUGGCGUGUCCGCGGGACGUCCUGCCGGUGGGCUUAGCCUCCCAAGGGCGGCCCAACUUCAAAUCCCACCGCGGUGCUCUUCACUGAGUGUCGAGGUGGGCCGGCACGUUUACUUUGAACAAAUUAGAGUGCUUAAAGCAGGCUAAAACUUCGCCUGAAUACUGUGUGCAUGGAAUAAUGGAAUAGGACCUCGGUUCUAUUUUGUUGGUUUUCGGAACCCCGAGGUAAUGAUUAAUAGGAACGGAUGGGGGCAUUCGUAUUGCGACGUUAGAGGUGAAAUUCUUGGAUCGUCGCAAGACGGACAGAAGCGAAAGCAUUUGCCAAAAACGCUUUCAUUGAUCAAGAACGAAAGUUAGAGGUUCGAAGGCGAUCAGAUACCGCCCUAGUUCUAACCAUAAACGAUGCCAGCUAGCGAUCCGCCGACGUUCCUCCGAUGACUCGGCGGGCAGCUUCCGGGAAACCAAAGCUUUUGGGUUCCGGGGGAAGUAUG